CACCGCAGGCCCAGGUGCGGGCCCGGCCCUGCCCGCCAGGGCACCUGGCAGCAGCAGGGGGGACCCUCGCUGGCCUUGGGGUCGCGGGCGGUUCCGGGCGGGGGUCGGCGGCUAGCCCGGGGGGCUUCCUGGCGGGCGCGUGUGCCAGGUGCCAGCCUCAGGCCGGCGACCUGGUGCGCUCCCUUCUCCCGCAUUCCCGCGGGGCCGGGGCGGGACAGGCUCCCUCGGGGGUCCGCGGGCCCGCUCUGCAGACGCGGGGGGCGAGCACGCUUCCCAGAGCCGCCCACCCGGCCGGGGCUGCAUUCCGCUCCCCGGCGGCCCCCGCAACGGGCGGCUCCCUCGGCCCGAAGUCCUCGCCCCUCGGCCGCCGGCCAUUUUUUAAACGACAAAGCAGGGCCCUGGGCCGGAGCCACCCUCAGCCCGCGCGGGCGUGCGGGUCCGCCGGUUCCGCUCAGGGGGUCGCGGCCGGGCACUGGCCGGGGUGGGGGUCGAGGGCGCGCGAGCGAGGCCGCCCCGCCCCCACGCGCGCCCGGCGCUGACGUCAUCGGCCGCAGCCGCCGCCCAAGGAGUCACGCGCUGCCGCGCGGCAGUGAUGCGCCCUCUGCAGAGAUCCCUCCGCCGCCAGCUGGAAUUUUCCAGGCGCCCUGCCGGCCCUUCUUUCAGCUCUCUAGGGGGCGGGGUGACCGGAAGUGGCCCUGGCCGGCCGGCUGCCCACGCGGGAGAGAGGCGCCGGCGUGUCGGCCCCCUCGGCCAGGACCGGGUCGCCGCACCCUCCACACCGCCAAGGACGCUCCGUGCCAUGUUGCCCCGAGUGUGACCUUGAGAUGGGCCCGCCCUCCUGAGGGCUGAAUUGCGGACCCUGGGGGUGGCCCCAGAGAGACCUUGAACCGUCGCAGUGCCCUCCUUGGGACUUUGGGUUCCAUGCUCACCUCUCCCGGGAGCCCGCUGUACCCCACCCCCACCCCCUUUAAAAACCCUUGGCUCUGGUAACCUGGUAAGCCGGGGACCCAGCCGGAGCUGGGUUGGAGUCGGUACUGACGGUAACGGUGCUCCGGGUGGGGCGGGUGGGGGUGACCAUGCACCCUCGGGUGCUCAGAGACGGCGGUUUGUUGCUGUAGUGUCCGUCCUGCACCCGGAGAGAUGGAGCCCCCGGCCGCUGCGAGUCCUGGCAGUGCAGGAGGGGCCGCCCCAGGGGAAGAGCCCGCUGAUCGGUGCCUGCAGAUGGACUUUGCGGAGCUUAGGAAGAGGAGCGCUUCAGUGCCUGGUGUCCAGGCCGUGUCCGGGAGGCCGCUGUCUCGGGCUCUCCCAUGAGCUUACGCGGGGCAGUCUGAGUUGGGCCUGAGGGACUGCCACCCUUGAAGGCUUGUUCCGGAAGCACCCCCCGCCCCGGCCGUGACCAGCGGGCACCCCUCCUUUUUUGGGGAAGCUGUCAGAUGCUGCGUCGUCUCGCUCGAGCCCCCAGCCACGCUAGUUCUGCCCUGUGACCCUUGCUUCGAGAAGAGUCUUAAGCCGUAGAAGUUGGUAACGCUGGUCGGUGCCGUGGCACGGUGAUGCCUGGUAGAUGGAGCCCGGUGACCGCGCCCGCCGCCCGCCUGCCUGCCUGCUCGCCGGCCUGCCUGUGUGUUAGCCGGGGGAGUUCGCCGUGUGACGAUUCAGCCUGUGUUGGGGAAGCUGGUCCAUGUCACAGGCCUGAGGCACAGGGGUGUAGUCGAGGGAGCAGUUGUCCAGUGAGGGUCACUUGCGCCAGCAUCGGGGCGGGGACAGGUGGGUUAGGUCCACAUUCCGCGUGUGGGAGAUGCAGGUCGCCUCGGGUUUGGGCAUCUGAUGGUUUUGCAGAUGACUACGAAGGGGAUGGUGGCUGAUCUUUGUUUUGCCGGGUUUUUUUUCCCCCAAAAAUCCGUGUGUUUGAAAGGCAGAGCACUGGGGGGGGGGGGGGUCUUUGAUCUGCUGAUUCACUCCUCAAAUGGCCACAGUAGCCAGGCUGAAGCCAGGAACUCCAUCCUGGCGGCCCACCCUUGGGCCAUCCUCUGCUGCCUUGCCAUGCACAUUAGAAGGGAGCUGGCUCAGAACCCAGUCGCCAGGACUCAAACCAGCACCCUGAUAGGAGAUGCCGGGGCCCCAGGCAGCAGCUUAACCAGCCUGCCAUGGGGCCAACCCUGAUCCUUGGUUCUUGAUUAUUAUUAUUUUUUUGAGUUGAUUUUUCCUGAUUGAGGUUGCAAGGAGCUCCGUGCAUCCCACUAGGAGGACCUAGGGUUGGGGUAGUGUGGGAGGGAGGGGGUGAGCAAGGGGCCGAGGGGUGGGUCAGGGGCACAGCGCUUGGUGGGGGUGGUAGGGGACGUGGGUCUUGGUGGGGGUGGUAGGGGACGUGGGUCGGAGGGAAUGCUGUGGAGGAGAACAGGGGGCGGGGUUGUGGGGAUUCAGUAACACUCCCGAACCUGGAAAACCGGUUAGUAACAGUAAACUUAACGCUGGGCAGGGUACUGCUUGGGGAAGCAGAAUUGUUUCGCUUUGCUGGGGAAGAGUCCGAAAAGGCGUAACUCAAAACCUGAGUAUUAGUGACUUGGAAGGUGGUGUGAAACGUGGCGGGCAGGAGGUUAGCACCCCUCGGCGGGGGCUGAGGAGUGUACGUGGGGAGGGGAGGGGGAAUACGGGGAGGUGAGGGGUGUACGUGGGAAGGGGAGGGGGAAUACGGGGAGGUGAGGAGUGUACAGGGGUGAGGGGUGUACGUGGGAAGGGGAGGGGUGUACGGGGGGGUGAGGGGUGUAUGGGGGGUGAGGGGUGUCGGGGAAGGUGUAGAUUUUCAGGAGCGGUGUGGAGAAUCCUUCCAAAGGCCUGCGUUGCGGCCUCGCCGGUGUUGAAGGGUGCCUGGGCGAUAAGAUUAGGCAGACUCCUGGGUUUGUAAUUAACGUUUAGUCCCUGCGAUAUUUUGUGAUUGAAAACAACACAAUGAAAAUGUGCUGAUGUCUAAGGGGAUUUCACGUGUGAGUCUGGUAAACACUGUCCUCUGUGAUCCGAUUGAGCUCGUUGCGUCUUCGCGUCCCGUUAACGGACUUCAGUUGAGCGGUCUGUGCCGCCUGGGCGGCUUGGAGAGAAGUAUGCUGGUGAAACAUCGCAGAACUGAAAACCUGGGACUCCGUGAGUUACCAGCGGAAGCUGCACGUACGCCUGUGUCCGCAGCCGGUCGUGGUGAGACCACAGAGCCCCUCGCGGUCGCUGUGCGGUCACGAUUACUGUGGUGUUGCAGCAGGUGUCUGCACCUGUAGGUCGGCGUGCAUGGCCCGGUGUGUCUGGGCUGAGUGCUUGUGCUUACUGUGUGAGCCAGCAGUGGAGGGAAACCGCCAGCCAGAACCGUUUUGGAAAUGAGAGGUGCCCACUCCAGUGUGCCGGCGGGGCCUGUAAACUGCUGAAGGACGAGCGUGACUUUUUUUUUUUAAUCAUGUCUCCUCUGUGAGUCUCACUUUAAACAGUUUAACCCCUGGUACUUUAUCCUUGGGAUGUUUCCGUCUCUGGGUUCCUUUUUUAAAGCACUUUAAAGAACAUGGCUGUGAUAGUUGAGUGCCUAACAGUGACUUGGGGGUGGUGCAGUGACUGGCGUUGGGAUUUGGACUGUGUUCCUCAUGCCCGGAUUGGGGAAUGUCCUGGGAGGCUGCUGUGACAGUGAGACUGCGCCGGGUCGGUGGUUGGGUGACUUGUACGUUGCUCUGUAUUCUGAAAAACCAGUCCUGUUGUGUCCUGAACAGAACUACUAACCCUUUCCUUCCCUUCACAAAAAUAAAGGUGUGAGCUCCAAACUC